rnacentral:rRNA from 1 species
UACGUAGGGGGCAAGCGUUGUCCGGAUUUAUUGGGCGUAAAGAGCGUGUAGGCGGCCAUACAGGUCAGCUGUGAAAACUCGAGGCUCAACCUCGAGACGUCGGUUGAAACCGUAUGGCUAGAGUCCGGAAGAGGAGAGUGGAAUUCCCGGUGUAGCGGUGAAAUUCGUAGAUAUUGGGAAGAACACCGAUGGCGAAGGCAGCCAUCUGGACCGACACUGACGCUGAGGCGCGAAAGCGUGGGGAGCAAACAGG